rnacentral:rRNA from 1 species
UACAGAGGGUGCAAGCGUUAAUCGGAAUUACUGGGCGUAAAGCGUGCGUAGACGGUUAUGUAAGUCGGGUGUGAAAGCCCCGGGCUCAACCUGGGAAUGCCAUUCGAGACUGUGUAGCUAGGGUACGGAAGAGGGAAGCGGAAUUUCAGGUGUAGCGGUGAAAUGCGUAGAUAUCUGAAGGAACACCAGUGGCGAAAGCGGCUUCCUGGUCCAGUACCGACGUUCAGGCACGAAAGCGUGGGGAGCAAACAGG